rnacentral:rRNA from 1 species
CCUACGGGAGGCUGCAGUGGGGAAUAUUGCACAAUGGGGGAAACCCUGAUGCAGCAACGCCGCGUGGGUGAAGGAGCGUUUCGGCGCGUAAAGCCCUGUCAGCGGGGAAGAAGAAAGACGGUACCCGACCAAGAAGCCCCGGCUAACUACGUGCCAGCAGCCGCGGUAAUACGUAGGUGGCAAGCGUUGUCCGGAAUUACUGGGUGUAAAGGGAGCGCAGGCGGGAAGCCAAGUCAGCUGUGAAAACUACGGGCUUAACUUGUAGACUGCAGUUGAAACUGGUUUUCUUGAGUGAAGUAGAGGUUGGCGGAAUUCCGAGUGUAGCGGUGAAAUGCGUAGAUAUUCGGAGGAACACCGGUGGCGAAGGCGGCCAACUGGGCUUUAACUGACGCUGAGGCUCGAAAGUGUGGGGAGCAAACAGGAUUAGAUACCCCAGUAGUC